GACGAACGCUGGCGGCGUGCCUAAUACAUGCAAGUAGAACGCUGAGGACUGGUGCUUGCACCGGUCCAAGGAGUUGCGAACGGGUGAGUAACGCGUAGGUAACCUACCUCAUAGCGGGGGAUAACUAUUGGAAACGAUAGCUAAUACCGCAUAAAAGUGUUUAACCCAUGUUAAACAUUUAAAAGGUGCAACUGCAUCACUAUGAGAUGGACCUGCGCUGUAUUAGCUAGUUGGUGAGGUAACGGCUCACCAAGGCGACGAUACAUAGCCGGCCUGAGAGGGUGUACGGCCACAUUGGGACUGAGAUACGGCCCAGACUCCUACGGGAGGCAGCAGUGGGGAAUAUUGCACAAUGGGCGGAAGCCUGAUGCAGCGACGCCGCGUGGGGGAUGAAGGCCUUCGGGUUGUAAACUCCUUUCGACAGGGACGAAGCUUUUGUGACGGUACCUGUAUAAGAAGCACCGGCUAACUACGUGCCAGCAGCCGCGGUAAUACGUAGGGUGCGAGCGUUGUCCGGAAUUACUGGGCGUAAAGAGCUCGUAGGUGGUUUGUCGCGUCGUCUGUGAAUUCCGGGGCUUAACUUCGGGCGUGCAGGCGAUACGGGCUGACUUGAGUGCUGUAGGGGAGACUGGAAUUCCUGGUGUAGCGGUGAAAUGCGCAGAUAUCAGGAGGAACACCGAUGGCGAAGGCAGGUCUCUGGGCAGUAACUGACGCUGAGGAGCGAAAGCAUGGGUAGCGAACAGGAUUAGAUACCCUGGUAGUCCAUGCCGUAAACGGUGGGCGCUAGGUGUAGGGGGCUUCCACGUCUUCUGUGCCGUAGCUAACGCAUUAAGCGCCCCGCCUGGGGAGUACGGCCGCAAGGCUAAAACUCAAAGGAAUUGACGGGGGCCCGCACAAGCGGCGGAGCAUGUGGAUUAAUUCGAUGCAACGCGAAGAACCUUACCUGGGCUUGACAUAUACAAGACAGGCGUAGAGAUACGUCCUCCCUUGUGGUUUGUAUACAGGUGGUGCAUGGUUGUCGUCAGCUCGUGUCGUGAGAUGUUGGGUUAAGUCCCGCAACGAGCGCAACCCUUGUCUUAUGUUGCCAGCAUUUGGUUGGGGACUCAUGAGAGACUGCCGGGGUCAACUCGGAGGAAGGUGGGGAUGACGUCAAAUCAUCAUGCCCCUUAUGUCCAGGGCUUCACACAUGCUACAAUGGUCGGUACAACGCGCAGCGACACUGUGAGGUGGAGCGAAUCGCUGAAAGCCGGCCUUAGUUCGGAUUGGGGUCUGCAACUCGACCCCAUGAAGUCGGAGUCGCUAGUAAUCGCAGAUCAGCAACGCUGCGGUGAAUACGUUCCCGGGCCU
rnacentral:rRNA from 1 species